rnacentral:rRNA from 1 species
UACGUAGGGUGCAAGCGUUAAUCGGAAUUACUGGGCGUAAAGCGUGCGCAGGCGGUUGUGCAAGACCGAUGUGAAAAUCCCCCGGGCUUUAACCUGGGAAUGGCAUUGGUGACUGCACGGCUAGAGUGUGUCAGAGGGGGGGUAGAAUUCCACGUGUAGCAGUGAAAUGCGUAGAGAUGUGGAGGAAUACCGAUGGCGAAGGCAGCCCCCCUGGGAUAACACUGACGCUCAUGCACGAAAGCGUGGGGGAGCAAACAGG